GAUGAACGCUGGCGGCGUGCCUAAUACAUGCAAGUCGAGCGAACGGACGAGAAGCUUGCUUCUCUGAUGUUAGCGGCGGACGGGUGAGUAACACGUGGAUAACCUACCUAUAAGACUGGGAUAACUUCGGGAAACCGGAGCUAAUACCGGAUAAUAUUUUGAACCGCAUGGUUCAAAAGUGAAAGACGGUCUUGCUGUCACUUAUAGAUGGAUCCGCGCUGCAUUAGCUAGUUGGUAAGGUAACGGCUUACCAAGGCAACGAUGCAUAGCCGACCGGAGAGGGUGAUCGGCCACACUGGAACUGAAACACGGUCCAGACUCCUACGGGAAGCAGCAGUAGGGAAUCUUCCGCAAUGGGCGAAAGCCUGACGGAGCAACGCCGCGUGAGUGAUGAAGGUCUUCGGAUCGUAAAACUCUGUUAUUAGGGAAGAACAUAUGUGUAAGUAACUGUGCACAUCUUGACGGUACCUAAUCAGAAAGCCACGGCUAACUACGUG
rnacentral:rRNA from 1 species